UUAUCAGGGGAAUUUGGAGCAGAUGGAACCUCUGGUUGGCAAGCGAGGAUGAAGCGGUGUCACACCAGGAAAAUAAUGAGAGUGAAGUAGACAUCAGUUUGUGGUAUGGUCUGUGGACAUCUUCGAGGUACAGAUCAGGACAUAGAUUCAGCCCGUCGUGCAGCUGAGGCCUGAACAACUAUGGCCUAUUUGCUAUAAGAAAUGUACUCUGUAGAGAAUGGGAUGUGAGGUAGAAAAGACAUGAAGACACACAGUUUCUUUCAACUCAACAAAAUACGUAACAGCCAUUGGAUCACUCACUUCUUAGGAUAAGGCCCUGACCAAUCAGAAUCGACCCGUCUCAGCAGGCUGUUAAUUGUCAGUCAGCAUCAAUAGAUACAUUCUCCUGGGAUGGGACUAUUCGCCACCACCGAUGAGCUACUGCCCUUUCACUGUCGAGGAUGCUUUGCCACCGCCCAUUGGCUGCUGAGGACGAUUCGCCACCGCAAGAGUUUGUAACUCAUUUUUAUGUA